GGCAGGAGGGGGACACUGAGGGUGGGGACACCCUCAGGGCAAUAUAGUGCCAGGAAAACGAGUAUGUGGUCCUAAUGAGAUCCUUGAGGUUGAUACUGCGAGACUAAAUAUUUGAUAUCUGGUUCGAUUUUCGUAAGGAACAAACGAAGGUCUCCUCUUUCGGUGAUAUGCAGACGACUUCUCUGUUUGAACAUAUGAUUUCUCAUCUGUGCGUCAGCUCCCC